CUUGACCUCAAAUCGGGUGAGACUACCCGCUGAACUUAAGCAUAUCAAUAAGCGGAGGAAAAGAAACUAACAAGGAUUCCCCUAGUAACUGCGAAGGGAANCGGGAAAAAGCUCAAAUUUAAAAUCUGGGGGUUUUUGGCCNUCCGAUUGUAAUUUAA
rnacentral:rRNA from 1 species